CCUACGGGUGGCAGCAGUCGAGAAUCAUUCACAAUGGGGGAAACCCUGAUGGUGCGACGCCGCGUGGGGGAAUGAAGGUCUUCGGAUUGUAAACCCCUGUCAUGUGGGAGCAAAUUAAAAAGAUAGUACCACAAGAGGAAGAGACGGCUAACUCUGUGCCAGCAGCCGCGGUAAUACAGAGGUCUCAAGCGUUGGUCGGAAUCACUGGGCGUAAAGCGUGCGUUGGCGGGUUCGUAAGUCGGGUGUGAAAGGCGAGGGCUCAACCCGCGGACGGCACAUGAUACUGCGAGAAUAGAGUAAAGGAGGGGUGACCGGAAUGCGCGGUGUAGCAGUGAAAUGCGUAGAUAUCGAGAGGAACACUCGUGGCGAAGGCGGGUUCCUGGACAUUAACUGACGCUGAGGCACGAAGGCCACGGGAGCGAAAGGGAUUAGAUACCCGGGUAGUC
rnacentral:rRNA from 1 species